rnacentral:rRNA from 1 species
AGAAUCAACGCUGGCGGCGUGCCUAACACAUGCAAGUCGAGCGGAAAGGCCCUUCGGGGUACUCGAGCGGCGAACGGGUGAGUAACACGUGAGCAAUCUGCCCCUAGCUCUGGGAUAGCUCCGGGAAACCGGGAUUAAUACCAGAUACAACCACUUUAGACAUCUUUUGUGGUGGAAAGGAUUCCGGCUAGGGAUGAGCUCGCGGCCUAUCAGCUUGUUGGUUGGGGUAACGGCCCACCAAGGCGACGACGGGUAGCCGGCCUGAGAGGGCGACCGGCCACACUGGGACUGAGACACGGCCCCAGACUCCUACGGGAGGCAGCAGUGGGGAAUAUUGCGCAAUGGGCGAAAGCCUGACGCAGCGACGCCGCGUGGGGGAUGAAGGCCUUCGGGUUGUAAACCCCUUUCAGCAGGGACGAAGCGAAAGUGACGGUACCUGCAGAAGAAGCGCCGGCUAACUACGUGCCAGCAGCCGC